rnacentral:rRNA from 1 species
UACGGAGGGUGCAAGCGUUAUCCGGAUUCACUGGGUUUAAAGGGUGCGUAGGAGGACAGGGAAGUCCGUGGUGAAAUCUCCGAGCUUAACUCGGAAACUGCCGUGGAUACUCUCUGUCUUGAAUCCCCUGGAGGUGAGUGGAAUAUGUCAUGUAGCGGUGAAAUGCUUAGAUAUGACAUAGAACACCGAUUGCGAAGGCAGCUCACUACAGGGGUAUUGACUCUGAGGCACGAAAGCGUGGGGAUCAAACAGGGA